UACGUAGGGUGCGAGCGUUGCCCGGAUUUAUUGGGCGUAAAGGGCGCGUAGGCGGUCACGCACGUCCGUUGUGAAAUCGCUCGGCUCAACUGGGCGGGGUCAGCGGAUACGGCGUGGCUGGAGGAAGCUAGGGGGCAAUGGAAUUCCCGGUGUAGUGGUGGAAUGCGUAGAUAUCGGGAGGAACACCAGUGGCGAAGGCGGUUGCCUGGAGCUUUGCUGACGCUGAUGCGCGAAAGCGUGGGGAGCGAUCCGG
rnacentral:rRNA from 1 species